AUUUGGCAUUCCAAGCAGAAUCCGUCGUUUAAAUUUUGAAAUUCGAAUUUUAAAAUUUGAUAGUACUGGAACAAAGUUUUUGUGAGUUGGAUUCGUCACUUCGAGGUUUUUUCGUAUAUAAUCAGCAAAUUAAGGGCGAUAUAACAUUGAGACUCAAACAAAAAAAUAAUAUUACAUAUCAAAAAGCAACUUGACAAGUGCUAACUUGUGCAUUUGUCAUGACAAAUAGGAUGUAAUAAUAUAAUUUUUGUGCUCACAAUCUGAAGAACACUUCCUUAUAGCUUAAAUACAAUAAACUUGAAAAAAUGACAUCUAAAGAAUCCAGUAAAGGAACUUAUGAUACUGUACAAGUAGCAUUGCGCAUAAGACCAUUGAUGCAACAUGAGAUAGACAGAGGCUGUGAAGAAUGUAUUGAAGUGGUGAAUGGAGGACCCCAAGUUCAAAUAAGAGAUCUGGCAUUCACAUAUAACUUCGUUUUUCCUCAACAUAUUAGCCAGCAGGAAUUCUACGACACAGCUGUUAAAGGAUUGAUUGAGAAGUUGUUUCAAGGCUACAAUGUGACAAUCCUAGCAUAUGGACAAACAGGUUCAGGCAAGACAUUCACAAUGGGAACCAAUUAUUCUGGCUCCAAUGGGGAUUGUACAAAAUUAGGCGUUAUCCCACAAGCCGUAGCAGACAUAUUCGAUUACAUAGAAGCCAAUGAAGAUAAAUUUAUAUUUAAAGUGUCUGUGUCAUUUAUGGAGCUGUAUCAAGAGCAGUGCUAUGACCUGCUGUCCGGGAAAGAGAGGAAUCACAGUACAAUUGAGAUAAGAGAAGAUGUUAAUAGAGGGGUCAUAUUGCCAGGCAUAACAGAAGUGUCCGUUACAUCGACUGCGGAAACAAUGCUGGCACUUGAGAAAGGAUCAUCAGGCCGUGUGACUGGUGCCACGGCUAUGAACCAAGCGUCAAGCAGAAGCCAUGCCAUCUUCACUAUAAUAAUAUUGAAGGAAAGCCGAACGGAUAAAAAUGUAGCAACCUCAUCUAAAUUUCACUUGGUGGACUUGGCUGGUUCCGAGCGCAUAAAGAAAACUAAAGCUAGUGGAAAACGGAUGCAGGAGGGAGUUAAGAUCAACCAGGGACUAUUGGUACUUGGCAACGUUAUCUCUGCACUGGGGGAAGGCACAAAUAGCUUUAUCGGCUAUAGGGACAGUAAACUCACAAGGUUACUACAAGACAGUCUGGGUGGAAACUCCUUAACUCUGAUGGUGGCAUGUGUGAGCCCCGCUGAUUAUAAUCUCGACGAGACAGUAUCAACGCUGCGGUAUGCGGAUCGGGCCAGACGAAUCCGAAACAAACCUAUCAUCAACCAGGAUGCGAAAUCGGCUGAAAUUGUUAGAUUGAACAAACUAGUCAAUGACCUAAGAUUACAACUUAUUGGUAAAUUGCCACUAAUGAAUGACGAAAAUGAGUCAUCAUUAAAAGAAGAACUUGAAAGAGAGAAGGCAAGGUAUCAAGAACUGUUAAAGAAACACAAACAGCUUACGGAAUAUCUCAGUAGCAUGGUAGUUGAUAACACAAAUCUAUGUGAGAAAGCUCUUUUAGCUGAAGCUGCGAAGGAUAAAUUUGAACGCAAACUCAACGAAUUAACAGAACAGUGUAAUACAACAAUUGAAAAUUUGAGCUCAGCUGACAACAACGAUGAAAAGAAAUCAAGUGUUGUUGAUUACUUGAAAGAGAUAAAGACGCGUUUGGAGGAUCUGCAAUCGAUCAACGUCAAGUCCAAUGAGGAGUUGUUGGAUCAUGAGAUAAAGGUGUCGUUCAUCAAGGAUGAUGCUGAUGGUGACAGGAAUGAAGAUGUUUUGGAGAUGACUGAGGAUCAAGCUGUGAUGGAAGAGGAGAAACGGGCCAUGGGACAGAUCGCACUCAACCAAGAGCUACAAGAGCUAAACCGAGCAAUGGCUAUCAAGAAGACUGUGGUGAAGGCAAUACUUUCUAACAACGAGAAUAUGCUCGAGAGUCAUCAGAAUCUGUUGGAAAAUGAAGAGAAGAUAGCACAUCUUGAGAAAGAGAGAGACGAAUUGUUGCAGCAGGUGAAACAUAACAAGAGUAAAGAUCCAACUCACGAAGAAAGGCGCUCAAAAAUAUCGUCGCUGGAAUCCGAAAUAGCAGAAUUGAAGAAGAAAUGUCAACAACAGGCGCUGGUCAUAAAGACAAAGGAAAAGAAUGAAGCGAAACUCGCCGCACUCAAUGCUGAGUUGCAAGCUAUGAAGGCUACUAAAGUUAAAAUCAUCCGUCAAAUGCGCGAAGAAGGCGAGAAGUUCCGCAAGUGGAAGGCGAACAACGAACGUGCGAUGCUGCGGCUUAAGAACGAGGACCGGAAACGCGCGAACGCAAUGGCCAAGAUGGAGUCGCUGCAUGUGAAGCAACAGAACGUUCUCAAACGGAAAAUGGAACAGGCCGUGGCCGUAAAUAAGAGACUUAAGGAAGCACUGGAACGGCAGAAGAGCAGCGCCCUUAAGCGUAACGCGAAGGGUAGUGUGAAAGCCAGCGCAGUACAGCAGUACAUAGAGCAGGAGCUGGAGGUGCAUCUCAGCAUUGUGGAGGCAGAGAAGUCGCUAGAGGAACUCAUGGAGUACAGAGCCUUCAAAAUGGAGCAGAUUGAUAGACUGCGGAAAGAGGAAGAUAAUGAAAUUACCCGGCAGAAGAUUGCUGAGCUGGAGGAAGACCUCGCGUUCCGGAAGGCGCAGAUACACGACCUUCAGCAGAAGAUCCUUACCGCAGACCAAGAAAAUAAAGCGCGCACCCAGUGGGACAAUAUUCAGUCGAUGCUCGAAGCGAAGGUCGCAUUGAAGGUGCUCUUUGAGUUGCUGGUCGAUGCCAAGCGUGAACUGCAGAACACAAGCGAGAAGGGAUACCAGUCUAGAUACGAGGAGAUCAAAGAUGACUACGAUCGACUUAACAUUGAGUUUGAGAUGUGCCGGGCGCAGUUUGAGUCGCAGCUCGCUAAUAUGAAGCUGCAAAAUGAAGAGAAGCUCAGUGCGUUGAUGGCUCUACAGCAUAGUACAGCGGGCCGCGGUGACAGAACUGAAGCUUGCCGCAACCUGCAGAAUAUCGUGCAGUUCCAGCAGGACAGGCUGCAUCAACUGGAACUGGAAAACAAAAGUCUCGCUGAUGACCUGGCAGAGCUACGAGCCGCGAGCAAAAAUGCCAAAUUGAACAAUAGUCGGCUGGAGACAGUGAGCGAAGACCUGAUGUCCAGCAAUGAGGUGGAAGAGGAUGCUGACAGCUCGAGCACUACACCUCUGCUCAAUAGAAUCAAGAGUCAACGCAAGCGGCGCCUCACGUUGGGACAGCCGCACUUCGAGGAGCAGCACGCGGUGAAGCGAAACAUCGCAGGCUUACCGACCUGCACCUGCCGGGGCAGUUGUAGCACCAAGAUGUGCAGCUGCGUGAAGACGGACAGGGGCUGCGGGAACACGUGCCGCUGUCAACCCGACCUGUGCAAGAACCGCCGCGACGUCGACGUUGAGGACAAAGAGAACCCUUCCGGCUCAGAUAACUCGCUCAAUGGGACGCAUCCGCCGUCAUACUUAUACAAAAGAUUUGAAACAUCGCAGGAACUAGAGGAGGCGGCCGCAAUACUAGAACCGAAAAGUCAAAGUGAACCUUCUGUGCGGGCUUUAAGGUCCAAUUCCGAACGCAGGAUUAAAAGCGCAAAUCCGCCGCAGAAAUGGAUGUUAGCAUUGCUCCUAUAUAAUACUUGCGUCGCGCCAAUGUCGUCCUACUGCGCUGACAAUAUAGUCCAAUAUGGAAUGGACGUGGCGAAAUAUAAUGUCGUUUCGAACCUGUUCAAGUUUCUAAUGCGGCAGAGAACUGCUUGAUGCAACCUAUGUUAAGAAAAAGAAAAGUUAUUUUUUUCCCACCGACGACGACGAAGUAAAUUAAAGACUGGCUGAAGGACAUGUGCCGCACUUCUUUUGUACAAAAUUGAUGUAAAACUAGGAUUUUAUUUAUUAUUGGUGUAAUAACCGUUUUAAAUUAUUAGUGAAGAGUAUGAAUUCUUUUAUUUCAAUGGCCUUUAAAUAUAUUAAUUUAGAUUUUAAAAUUGGGAAAACCGUCCUACAAUCUAUGGAGAUAAAUUGUAUGCAAAAUGUAACCACUUAAAAGUUUGUGAUGGAGCAUAUCUGUGCAUUUUCAUGGUAAAAGUUUAAGUUUAUUUUAUUCGUUUAGCAAAGCUUAUAAUAAUAAACAAUUAAGACUGUAAUAUUUAAAGCUAGGGAAGCAUCUAUUAUAACAUGGCUGUAUUAAAAUUUUAUGUUUUA